rnacentral:rRNA from 1 species
UGGGGAAUAUUGGACAAUGGGCGAAAGCCUGAUCCAGCCAUGCCGCGUGUGUGAAGAAGGCCUUUUGGUUGUAAAGCACUCUAAGUGGGGAGGAAAAGCUUAUGGUUAAUACCCAUAAGCCCUGACGUUACCCACAGAAUAAGCACCGGCUAACUCUGUGCCAGCAGCCGCGGUAAUACAGAGGGUGCAAGCGUUAAUCGGAAUUACUGGGCGUAAAGCGCGCGUAGGUGGUUAUUUAAGUCAGAUGUGAAAGCCCCGGGCUUAACCUGGGAACUGCAUCUGAUACUGGAUAACUAGAGUAGGUGAGAGGGGAGUAGAAUUCCAGGUGUAGCGGUGAAAUGCGUAGAGAUCUGGAGGAAUACCGAUGGCGAAGGCAGCUCCCUGGCAUCAUACUGACACUGAGGUGCGAAAGCGUGGGUAGCAAACAGGAUUAGAUACCCUGGUAGUCCACGCCGUAAACGAUGUCUACCAGUCGUUGGGUCUUUUAAAGACUUAGUGACGCAGUUAACGCAAUAAGUAGACCGCCUGGGGAGUACGGCCGCAAGGUUA